GGGUUGGAAGUCAAAGCUUCAGAAGAGGUCAUAGCUAUUGCAUGCUGUCUUACUGCACAUGCUAAUCAUUGGAGUGUGGGAGGAAGGACAAAAUGACAAACAAACUUCAGUGUUCUCUUUCUAAUCAACCAUGAAUGGAGAUGAUAAUUCUUGGGAAAUGCGAGAUCAGAUCAAAGUUCUUUCUCUGCAAAGCACAUUUAAGUCCAUUUUUCUGGAUCCCAGGGUACUAGAAGGCAGCUUUAGGGUCUCCUCAGAGCCUUCUCUUCUCUAGAAUGAGAAACCCCAGCCAUCUCAUCCUGUCUUCACAGGACAGAUGUUCCAGCCCGCUGAUCAUCUUCAUUGCCCUCCUCUGGACUUGCUUGAACAGGUCGACAUU